rnacentral:miRNA from 1 species
GGAAUCUUGCUAAAAUGCAGAUUCUGAUUCAGUAGGUCUGGGAUGGGGCCCACAUUCUGCAUUUAUAACAAGCUC